rnacentral:rRNA from 1 species
GUGGGUAGUUUGACUGGGGCGGUCUCCUCCUAAAGAGUAACGGAGGAGCACGAAGGUUGGCUAAUCCUGGUCGGACAUCAGGAGGUUAGUGCAAUGGCAUAAGCCAGCUUGACUGCGAGCGUGACGGCGCGAGCAGGUGCGAAAGCAGGUCAUAGUGAUCCGGUGGUUCUGAAUGGAAGGGCCAUCGCUCAACGGAUAAAAGGUACUCCGGGGAUAACAGGCUGAUACCGCCCAAGAGUUCAUAUCGACGGCGGUGUUUGGCACCUCGAUGUCGGCUCAUCACAUCCUGGGGCUGAAGUAGGUCCCAAGGGUAUGGCUGUUCGCCAUUUAAAGUGGUACGCGAGCUGGGUUUAGAACGUCGUGAGACAGUUCGGUCCCUAUCUGCCGUGGGCGCUGGAGAACUGAGGGGGGCUGCUCCUAGUACGAGAGGACCGGAGUGGACGCAUCACUGGUGUUCGGGUUGUCAUGCCAAUGGCACUGCCCGGUAGCUAAAUGCGGAAGAGAUAAGUGCUGAAAGCAUCUAAGCACGAAACUUGCCCCGAGAUGAGUUCUCCCUGAGACUUAAAGUCUCCUGAAGGAACGUUGAAGACGACGACGUUGAUAGGCCGGGUGUGUAAGCGCAGCGAUGCGUUGAGCUAACCGGUACUAAUGAACCGUGAGGCUUAACCUUAC